GGGACUCAGUCCAGUACCAGAUGAUGAAGUGUUACACAUGUAUGAUGGAACCCAGCAUGUUCCUCUACAUCGAAUGAGUGACUUCUAUGGCAAGGAUGCAAUAAGUAAUGUCCAUAUCAAAGGAAUGAUGUACAAGUGGACCUUGAAAAUUGUAUUCUUCAUGGAGAUGAAACAUAUGCUGUCCUAAACCAUUUGAUUAAUGAUGGAAAGAAGCUCUUCCUCAAUAUCAACAGUCGCUUCAACUUUGUGGACGUAAUAAUUUUUACCGACAUGAUCAGAGAUUUUCUGAAUGGCAUACCUUCUCUUGUUAAAUAUGGGGGCCAAAACUGCUCAUUAUGAGCACUGGAGAGGGUCCAGAGGAGGUGUACGAGAAUGAAAGGGUAAAUGUAUGAGGAGUGCUUGAUGGAUAUGGACCUGUGCUCACUGGAUUUUAGAAGAAUGAGGGGAAUCUCACUGAAACUUCCCGAAUAUUGGAAGGGACCCUGGGUGUCCUGGUGCAUAAGUUACAAAUGGUUAUUGCACCAUGCGGAAAGCAAUUCAGAAAGCUAACAAUGUUACUCUUAUAGUAGGAGAACUGGAAAGUAAAGAUAAAGAUGAUCAUUUAGUUACUUAUGAAAUGAGAGAGACCACAUCCGGAGUACUUUGUGCUGUGCUGGUUCCUUUAGAAGGUGUAAAUGCAUGAGAAGUUCACAGAAGGUUUACUAGACUAACAUCUGGGAUAGAUGUCAUACCCAAGGGAAAGUUGGACAGACUAGGCUUGUACCUUUAGAGUGAAGGUGACAUGAUUAAAACUUUUAAGGUUCUGAGGUCACAAGGUGCAGAUACUAGAAUCUGAAGAAACACGAUACA